rnacentral:rRNA from 1 species
UCGGGAAUAUUGCGCAAUGGAGGAAACUCUGACGCAGUGACACCGCGUAUAGGAAGAAGGUUUUCGGAUUGUAAACUAUUGUCGUGAGGGAAGAAAUUGGCAGUACCUCAGGAGGAAGCUCCGGCUAACUAUGUGCCAGCAGCCGCGGUAAUACAUAGGGAGCAAGCGUUAUCCGGAAUUAUUGGGUGUAAAGGGUGCGUAGACGGGAAAUUAAGUUAGUUGUGAAAUCCCUCGGCUUAACUGAGGAACUGCAACUAAAACUAUCUUUCUUGAGUGUUGGAGAGGAAAGUGGAAUUCCUAGUGUAGCGGUGAAAUGCGUAGAUAUUAGGAGGAACACCAGUGGCGAAGGCGACUUUCUGGACAAUAACUGACGUUGAGGCACGAAAGUGUGGGGAGCAAACAGGAUUAGAUACCC